rnacentral:rRNA from 1 species
CCUCGGGUGGCAGCAGUGAGGAAUAUUGUUCAAUGGGCGCGAGCCUGAACCAGCCAAGUAGCGUGAAGGAUGACUGCCCUACGGGUUGUAAACUUCUUUUAUAAAGGAAUAAAGUGAGGCACGUGUGCCUUUUUGUAUGUACUUUAUGAUUAAGGAUCGGCUAACUCCGUUCCAGCAGCGGCGUUAAUAAGGAGUAUCCGAGCGUUAUCCUGUUUUAUUGGGUUUAAAGGGGUCGGAGAUGGGUGUGUAAGUCAGUUGUGACAGUUUGCGGCUCACCCGUAAAAUUGCAAUUGAUACUGGCAGCCUUGAGUACAGUUGAGGUAGGCGGAAUUCGUGGUGUAGCGGUGAAAUGCUUAGAUAGCACGAAGAACUCCGAUUGCGAAGGCAGCUUACUAAACUGCCACUGACAUUGAUGCUCGAAAGUGUAGGUAUCAAACAGGAUUAGAUACCCCUGUAGUC